CCGACGGUGAGAGGUGAAAGCUGGGGGAGCAAACCGGAUUAGAUACCCGGGUAGUCCCAGCUGUAAACGAUGCAAACUCGAUGAUGCGUUGGCUUAUUGCUAGCGCAGUGUCGCAGGGAAGCCGUUAAGUUUGCCGCCUGGGAAGUACGUACGCAAGUAUGAAACUUAAAGGAAUUGGCGGGGGAGCACCACAAGGGGUGAAGCCUGCGGUUCAAUUGGAGUCAACGCCUGAAACCUUACCCGGAGAGACAGCAGAAUGAAGGUCAAGCUGAAGACUUUACCAGACAAGCUGAGAGGUGGUGCAUGGCCGUCGCCAGCUCGUGCCGUGAGAUGUCCUGUUAAGUCAGGUAACGAGCGAGAUCCCUGCCUCUAGUUGCCACCAUUACUCUCAGGAGUAGUGGGGCGAAUUAGCGGGACCGCCGCAGUUAAUGCGGAGGAAGGAAGGGGCCACGGCAGGUCAGUAUGCCCCGAAACUCUGGGGCCACACGCGGGCUGCAAUGGUAACGACAAUUGGUUUCGAAUCCGAAAGGAUGAGGUAAUCCUCAAACGUUACCACAGUUAUGACUGAGGGCUGCAACUCGCCCUCACGAAUAUGGAAUCCCUAGUAACUGCGUGUCAUUAUCGCGCGGUGAAUACGUCCCUGCUCCUUGCACUCACCGCCCGU
rnacentral:rRNA from 1 species